rnacentral:rRNA from 1 species
UACAGAGGGGGCGAGCGUUAAUCGGAAUUACUGGGCGUAAAGCGCACGUAGGUGGCGACGUAAGUCGGGUGUGAAAGCCGCGGGCUCAACCUGGGAAUUGCAUUCGAGACUGCAUUGCUGGAGUACGGAAGAGGAGGGCGAAAUUCCCGGUGUAGCGGUGAAAUGCGUAGAUAUCGGGAGGAACAUCAGUGGCGAAGGCGGCCCUCUGGUCCAGUACUGACACUCAAGUGCGAAAGCGUGGGGAGCAGACAGG